rnacentral:rRNA from 1 species
UACGUAGGGCGCAAGCGUUGUCCGGAAUUAUUGGGCGUAAAGAGCUCGUAGGCGGCUUGUCACGUCGGAUGUGAAAGCCCGAGGCUUAACCUCGGGUCUGCAUUCGAUACGGGCUAGCUAGAGUGUGGUAGGGGAGAUCGGAAUUCCGUGGUGUAGCGGUGAAAUGCGCAGAUAUCAGGAGGAACACCAGUGGCGAAGGCGCCGCUCUGGGCCGUGACUGACGCUGAGGAGCGAAAGCGUGGGUAGCAAACAGG